ACAAAACUCACCGCAUUUGAAUCCAUCAAAGCUGCUGUCAUUACAAAGUUCAUAUAGAAAAUAUUUUGUCGGAAAUGUUAAAUUUUACAGCGUUAAGAUUUCCAAUUAUCUUUGGAUCAUUUCUGUUUAUAGCGGGCACAUCAUUCAUUUGCCGCGAUAAUUUAAUGCCGAAUCUGGACGAAGCGAAAAAAUCACUCAAUAAACAGGAUGAAAUCACAAGAGUCGAACUGGAAGGCUUCAUAAAAAAUAUGAGAUCGUAGCCACUUCUUUAGUAUUUCCCAAUAAAACUUCUUUAUGUAAAUGAAA